rnacentral:rRNA from 1 species
GGAGUUAGCCGGUGCUUCUUCUGUGAGUGAUGUCCUUCCUGCCGGUUAUUGACCCGCAGGCCUUCUUCCUCACUGAAAGUGCUUUACAACCCGAAGGCCUUCUUCACACACGCGGCAUGGCUGGAUCAGGGUUGCCCCCAUUGUCCAAUAUUCCCCACUGCUGCCUCCCGUAGGAGUCUGGGCCGUGUCUCAGUCCCAGUGUGGCUGAUCAUCCUCUCAGACCAGCUACGGAUCGUCGCCUUGGUGAGCCGUUACCUCACCAACCAGCUAAUCCGACAUAGGCUCAUCCGAUAGCGCGAGGCCCGAAGGUCCCCCGCUUUCCCCCGUAGGGCGUAUGCGGUAUUAGCCUGGGUUUCCCCAGGUUAUCCCCCACUACCCGGGCAGAUUCCUAUGCAUUACUCACCCGUCCGCCGCUCGCCACCAGGGAGCAAGCUCCCCGUGCUGCCGCUCGACUUGCAUGUGUUAGGCCUGCCGCCAGCGUUCAAUCUGAGCCAGAAUCGAACCCUGA